GGGCUUUGGCAGGACACAUGCUAACAUUGGAAUGGUUCAGUGAAGAUUAGCAUGGCCCCUGUGCAAGGAUGACGUGCAAAUCCCCACUGUAUUUUAUAUUUGU